AAUGAGAGCAAAGGGCAGCCAUGGAACUGAUGACCUUCCACCUCUCACAGCUGGCCCAAGAGGAGCCGAUCUCACAUAGAAACUGACCUAGUUCGUAUCCGUCAAAGAAACACUCCUUGGAAUGAGGCAAGUCUGAUGGUGACAUGAAAAUCUCAGGAAAUUUAUCUUUUACUCACCUUUACAUGUAUGAUUCUAAUAUGUCCUAUAUCCUACAAAUGCCAUUAAGAAGAAGUACGAAGUAGCCUUCUGCCUCUGGAGUGAACAGGUAGCCAUUUGGCAGCUAAAGGAACAUGUUCCUUUCAAGUCCCGUUACCCUUUUUUCAUCCAACACUGCAAGCUGAGAAACGAGAAAGCCACCAUGUUCUAGAACUAUUUCCAAGACUUCUUCAUUCAAACCUUAAGUGAAAACACCCGGGACCUCAUUCAGAUGCCAGUACCUCACUCGUGUAAGUGAUGCUACCGGGGGAGAGAAGACACCAAAAGAGGAUGGAGGGUCAUUCUAAUGAAAUGACGUCACUUAAUGCACACCCGUUAGAAACCAGACUUCCUCAAAAGUGUGCGUGUGUCAAGGUGUGCCGAGGAACAGGAUGCAAUAGGGAGAGCUCACGUGCACACACUUGCCUCCGACCAGGUGGAACUCAUCUUGGCACACCAUCUUGAGCCUCUUGGGAUGAAAGGACAGCCUACAUUUCUAGAGGGGCCUUCAGCUAACAAACAGGUCCCUAACCUGGUCAAGUGACCCGGUUCUCCUAUACUGUGUACUGUGACUCACAAUGAGGAAACUUGGCCAUCUCCUCCCAUGGCAUCGGGUCAGAAGAGCAGGUCAGGUCUCUUUCCAACCCCUCUCACCCUGCUUUCGGGUCUUCUACAGGCACAACCUUCCCAGCUCUUUUGUUUCUUUACCCGCUCGUCACAGACCCAUUUAGGACGCAGCAAAUUCCAAUCUACAGCCACGUGAAGACCUACAACAUGCUCUUCUGUCAAAAGGACACUGUUAUAAAGGACAAGCCAGUAAGAUUUCCCAUGUUCAACUAUUUCAUGUGCAUAUAUUUCUGAACCAGGUGAUACUGCUUUCUUCUCUUUCUCUCUCUGUUGUUUGAACCCAAGUGAACUGUAAAUAGAAGACAUGCAGUGUGCUGUCAGUCUUCCUGGCACAUGAGAUGGGAAAUUACAUUAAAAAAAAAAAAGUAACAGUGAUGAAGAAGCCUCACAACCAGCAGAGAUGCUGGGGAGAGGUUCUUAGGCAGAGAUGGAAGCCCCAAGUUCAGCCCCCGCUCUCUGCACCCACGCCAAAAGCGAUGCCUCCCCUCUCCAUGUUCUGAAAGAUUAUAGUUCCUCUGGAAUCCUACACUGUGCUUGAGUUCUGUCUUGCCACAUAUAUUUUUAAGUUUGCAGCUAGAAGGGUCUCUAAAGGCAAAGAGUUUUUCCUUUUCCAUGCUGCCCCUCCAUUGCCUGUUUACAGCACUGCUUUCUUAUUUUUUUCCUGCUUCUACCCAAAGAAAUCGAGAAUUUCAUCACGAGUGUCAGAAAAUUAAACCCCAGGGAGCAAAGCAAUAGCUCGGAGCAACCCUUCCCUGGCAAAGAGCCAAUCCUUGAAUAUAACUUUGCAAACCCUCUCUGGUUUUCAGGGGUUUAAAAGGAUGCAAAACAGAGUCGUUUGGAAGCGUGGUUUUUGGCAGCCGAAAUCUCCCUGACUUCAAGUCAUCUUUGCAAUUAAUUUUUAGAAAGAGAGUGAACAUAUUCUGAUUUAGAGACAGGUUUCAUGAAAGAAGUAAGGGGCAUGACCUAGCUCAGUUGCACACUCCCCAAGCCGAGAUCAGCAGUGCAUGCAGAAGAGACGCCUCCUUCUGUGCUUGGGGGUCUGAAGAAGUGUUUGACAGACCAUUGUAAUAACAUCUCUCUUCACAAUGCAAACACCAGCAACACAGUCAAGCCGCUCACCGCUCGGCUCCGUGCCUGCACCUUUCUCUCUCUCCCCAGCAAUGCACAAGGUGGACUCUUAUUAAUUUAGUUGGAAAAGCACCCUCUUUUGAAAUGGAUCUAUACCCCGGCGGAUAAAGCAAGACCCCACUCCUCAUACUAAUCCCAACUAGACAAACCAAUGUUCCAGUAUAAUACACAGGCAACUACGAAUCCGAUCCUACCCAAGCAAUGCAUGCAGGCUUUGGAAUACAGAAGCUCACACAUCACGGGAACCCUAGAAUGCCUGCUCCUCCAUGUGCUCGUUCCAAUUCCUAGUUUUCUCGGCAGACAAUAGGACAAGGCUGCAUUUUAGCUCAGGCUGCUAAUACCGGCGGACAGAUGUGUAAGGCGGAGGUUUACUCACCAAGCUCCCGUAAGUCCAUCUUUCCCAACUACAAAUACUGCUGCUAAGCCUGCUGCCGCCACCAAAUGACUUAGAGUCGUCCCCCAGAAGAACAAUGUGCUGGAAUACCAGAUGGUUCCCGAGUAAGCUUGUUCAUGAAACAGGUUUCCAGUUGAGCCAUGUGAAUGGAGACCUGCCGCACACCUUUGAAUGGUACACACUUCAAGUCCAGAAGAAUAAGCAUGUAGCUUUGCUUAUGUUUAUGGAGCCCGAGCCCAGGGGUGCUCCCAUUGGCAGGAAUCGCAGAAAGAUCAGCCAAUCAAAGGGAGCCUCCAUUUCAGGGAAACUCCUGCUCAUUUAUUUAGCAUCUUCAGAGAUCAUCGGCUUUUCUAGGAAGAGCUUUUCUCUUAUAGUAUCACAAGAGAAAAAUAAUAACUUCAAUUCUGGUGCCCUCUGCUCUUUCAUCAAUAAACAUACGUAGCUCCUCUUCUGGGUAUUCCUCUAUACCCCCACUUUCCUUAUAAAGAACUUAAAAAAAAAAGGAAGGAAGGAAAAGAAGGAGAAAAAGAAAGAGCUGGUGAUGGGCUAGAGAUAGUUCAUAUUCAUCAGCCUCCACCUUGUUGGGAGGAAGGAGGGGGGAGCGCCUGGGCUCAAUAAUUACUGAUUCUGUUGCCAUGGAAACAGACUGGCUGCAGCGAGUUGGAUUCGUGUAGAACAUCUGCUGCCAGACCCAUAAUCAACUGCAAUCUCAUCUCUCCCCCUCUCCCUACUUUUAUUUGAUUGUGAGUUUGCUUUCUCUUCUUCUCUUCACAUGUAGUUUUUGUCCAGAAAUGUCAUGUAACUGCCUUACUUUGUACACUCGGCACACACACACACACACACACUAGAAGUGCUCACACGCCCAGAAAUGCGUGCACGCAAGGGUGCAUCCCAGCAGGACUCCUACGGAGGAAGGAUCUCUACUCUGAUUCCCAUCCAGAAUGUAAACAAGCAUAAGCACGGUGCCUCCACCGCUCAUGAAAAUUUACUCAGGGGCCGCCACUGAGCAACGAAUGACUAAAUGGCCAGGUCAGGCCCAGAGGAGACCCAGGCGGUGGGGAUCUCACCUGUGUGUCUGGGGAAGCCUUCAGCUCUACAAAGACUGAGCAUGGCAAAUGUCAAAGGAGGCUAUGAUUCCGGCUUAAGAUAGAAGGGAAUUCUUCCCUGUCCCAUCAUCACGACUAUCAAGGAGAGCCUUCUCUUUCCUGAAGGUCUCUACCAGCCUGGUGCCUUCAAACCAUUAAUGACACAGAGCAAGCUUCAGAGGGGGCUUUGCCCACCUCUGGAACCUGAAGCCAAGAUUUACGGAUAAUCUGUGGUCCUGGUCUCUUGUUACAACAAGGAGUACAUUGCAACAGAACAGGGUAAACCAGAGAGGAGGGGGGAGAAUGGAGAGUCUGCUGUGCAAGAGGGCAAACAAGAUCAAGAAGAGCCACAGGAAGAUGGUGUUUAAGAAGGAGAGAAUCAAGGGCUGCAAAGAAGGCAAACGACAGAGAUUUUAGAAUGUCCAUCAGAGGUCAUUCUUGACCUCAUCUAAACCAAUGGCUUUUGUGGCUAAAGAGGUUCUCAAGUAUUGACAGUAUAAUUGAGUGCUUUUUAGAGUCCUAUGUCUCUUCUUCUGCUUAGUGGUAUUUUUAGUGAGGGCCAAAGGCCAGUUGCAGUGGAUUGAUAAAUUACUGGGAAGUAGAAGAAGAGGUGGCAAACAGAGGCAACUAUGUGAGGAAAUCUGACUUGGGGGGAGGGCUGGAUGGAAGAUUAAGAAGGAGUUAUCUGCUUGUUUUUUCAAACACGAGACACGUGAGUACACUUAUAUGCUGGUGAGAAGACUGCAUCCAAGAGGACGAGAUUGAUGAUAUAAGGACCAGAAGGGAUGACUUGACCAGUGGGGUCUCAGAGUAGAUGAGAAGAGAAUUCAAAGCACGGAAGGAAGAAUCCCCCUCUGGGGCCACAAGGGACACCUUCAUCUAGAAAGGAGAGGGGUGGUGAGGGCAGAUAUUGGAGAACAGCCCAGGGUCAUGUUGUCAGCUCGAGGCAGAGCUGGACUAGGAUUCAUUCCUCCCCACACCUGCUCUAGAGCAUUGUGUCAUCACUCUUGUACUUUCCCCCUCAUGGAAAUGGCCCAAGUGUUUUACAUAUACUAGGACAAACCAUACAAAAUAAUUUUCCAAUUCAUGGGUCAAAUAUUGGUCAUUGCAU